GUUCGAUUGUCUGCUGCUACUCAUUGGCAGAUCGAGCAGUUUGUCCCAUUUCGACGCAAAACUAUCGACGCGGGUCAUCUGUAACCGUUCGGAAACUCACUCGUGAAGGUUACCGCGAUUUGUUUUCCGUUUAAUUUAAAAGUUGGAAAGUGUUCGCGUGUCAAGUGUUUGGUCUCCUGUAAACGACCCAGCAAGUGACGUCCACCAAGAACGCACCCAGCAGAAGCUUCCAAAACCAACCACCAGAGGACCUCGUCAGCAGUGGGUGGUAAAGGCGCGGAAGGAGAAGGGGAAAGACGAAGUCCGUCAACCGCCAAUGACUCCUCAAGACUCGUCCAAUUGCCCGGUAAGAGACACAGCGAACAGUUGGACCGCUACAACUCCACUGUUUCGCAAAUAAGUUGAAGUGCACGGCCACGGCCGUGAGUGAUAGUGCCAGCGGGAACCAGGAGUGUUUGGGACCGCUGAUGGACAUCAGGAUCCCUCGUACCUCACGUUUAGUGCCAGUUCGGCACCGCCCAGUAACAACCGUGUCGAGGACAUAAACCGGGGACUCGCCGCAACCUUCGAGUCACCCCAGAAUCCAGUCCGCAGCCGGACAUGGACUCGCGUCGUACCUGCGCCUCAUCCGGGUAUUCCGGACACCCUUGAUGGUGCUCCGAAGGUCGUAGGACGCAACCAACCACGACGGAGGACAGGACGACAACAACCGGAACGAGUGGGAUCCGUUAAUGACCGCAGCCGGUCGAGUACGCCAUCCAGUACAACAACCUCGCCAUCAUGCGGCGCAGCAACCACAACAGAAGGAGAGGAAGCGGCGUCACCGGAAGCUGAGUCGGAGUACGGGGCCCAGAGAAGAAGGAAGGAAAAGAAGGUCAGAUAGCCAUAAGAAAGCCAUAAGGAAGGAAAAGAAGGUCAGAUAGCCAUAAGAAAAAUAGAAAGGGUUCAACCAAGAUUGUGGAGUUUUCACUGGAUUCCGACGCAUUUCCCAGCUUACCGCGAUUCAGGACCGCAAGCAUGCCGACUAGGUCGACCCAAAAAAAUGAAAAGUUGUCAAAUCUUCGGUGCUCACCCCUAGAAUGAUAGAUUAGGAUGUCAGGAACAAUGUUUUCAUACAACAAAAAAAUCCCAAAAAUGGUUUACAACUCGCGCGCGGAGCUUGAAUGAAAAAAGUGCAUUUUUCGAGUUUUUUUCAGAAAUGCGCGUAACAAUCAUACUAAAGUCACUCAAAUUUGGUCGCCUUGAGCUUCAAGUUAUAGUUUAAUGUCCCCUGAACAAAUUCCUGUACAGACAUAGUCCAUAAAAGCUUGUGUUUGGGCAUGAAAGGGCGUUUUUGGGAGAAAAAAUUGUAUUUUUUAUCUAAAAAAUUUCA